UGGCGGUAUGCUUUACACAUGCAAGUCGUACGAGAGUUUUUAACUCAAGUGGCGGACGGGUGAGUAACACGUAAGAAUUUGCCUUUAGGAGGGGGACAACAACUGGAAACGGUUGCUAAUACCCCAUAUGCUUUCGAGUGAAACGGUUUUUCCGCCUAAAGAGAAGCUUGCGGCUGAUUAGCUUGUUGGUAAGGUAAUGGCUUACCAAGGCGACGAUCAGUAUCUGGUUUGAGAGGACGAUCAGACACACUGGAACUGAGACACGGUCCAGACUCCUACGGGAGGCAGCAGUGGGGAAUUUUCCGCAAUGGGCGAAAGCCUGACGGAGCAAUACCGCGUGAGGGAUGAAUGCCUAUGGGUUGUAAACCUCUUUUUUCAGGGAGGAACAAAAUGACGUGUACCUGAAGAAUAAGCAUCGGCUAACUCCGUGCCAGCAGCCGCGGUAAGACGGAGGAUGCAAGUGUUAUCCGGAAUCACUGGGCGUAAAGCGUCUGUAGGUGGUUUAAUAAGUCAACUGUUAAAUCUUGAGGCUCAACCUCGAAAUCGCAGUCGAAACUAUUAGA
rnacentral:rRNA from 1 species